rnacentral:rRNA from 1 species
GUAGGUGGCAAGCGUUGUCCGGAAUUAUUGGGCGUAAAGCGCGCGCAGGCGGUCCUUUAAGUCUGAUGUGAAAGCCCACGGCUCAACCGUGGAGGGUCAUUGGAAACUGGGGGACUUAAGUACAGAAGAGGAAAGCGGAAUUCCACGUGUAGCGGUGAAAUGCGUAGAGAUGUGGAGGAACACCAGUGGCGAAGGCGGCUUUCUGGUCUGUAACUGACGCUGAGGCGCGAAAGCGUGGGGAGCAAACAGGGAUUAGAUACCCUGGUAGUCCACGCCGUAAACGAUGAGUGCUAAGUGUUAGGGGGGUUUCCCGCCCCCUUAGUGCUGCAGCUAACGCAUUAAGCACUCCGCCUGGGGGAGUACGGCCGCAAGGCUG